GUAGUUCUUCUUCUUUUCCGGACAGGUGCCCAGAACUGGAGCAUUAACUCUUUAACUCCUGAUGCACUACAUGAUGUUAUGAUAUGGAAUACCAAUAACCAAAAAUCAUAAAACCAUGACAGAGUGACAGAAAUGGAACAGAUUGCCCAGAGAGGUUGUGGAGCCUACUUCUUUGGAGAUGUUCAGGACUCAUCUGAAUGCCUACCUGUUCAACAUACUGUAGAGAACCUGCUUUAGCAGGGGAUUGAUCUUGAUGAUCUCUAGAGAUCCACUGACCUCCAGAGAACCACUGAAUACAACUCUCUGGCUGUAGCCAUCCAACCAAUUCCUUUUCCUUUUAGACUAGAAUAGUCUAGCCUUAAAAUCUGCAUCUCUCCCACUUAGAGAGAAGGAUGUGGUAUGGGAUCAUAUCAAUGGCCUUGCACAAAUCCAGGUAGAUGACAUCAGACAUCAGUUGCUCUUCCUUUGUCCACUGAUACCACCACUCCAUCAUAGAAGCCCUCCAGUUUGAUCAGCUACAAUCAGCCCUUGGGAAUGUGUGUGCCUUAACAUAGCUUCCAGGAAGAUCUGCUUCAUGAUCUUCCCAGGCACAUAGGUGAGGCUCACCAGCCUGUAGUUCCCCAGAUCCUCCUUUCUCCCCUUCUUAAAAAUGGGAGUAAUGUUUCCCUUUUUCCAGUCACCGGGGACUUCACCAGACAGCCAUGAUUUUUCAAAUAUGAUGGAGAGUGGCUUGGCAACCACAUCAGCCAUCUCUUUUAGAACCCUAGGAUGGAUAUAAUCCAGCCCCAUGGACUUAUACACAUUCAAUGUCAUGAGGAGGACUUGGACUUGUUCCACCAUUACAGUGGGACAGAAACACUCCCCACACCCUCACCUAGAGGCUCAUGGUUCUGGCAGACACAGGAAGCCUGACCACCCGUGAAGGUGGAGGCAAAGCACUCACUGAGUACAUCAGCUUUUUCUAUGUCUGAGGAAGCCAGCUCCCCAUUACCUUUCAUCAGAGGGGGAACACUCUCCUUGGCCUGUCUCUUCCUGCCUAUGUACCUGUAGAACCCCUUCUUGUUAUCUUUCACAUCCCUCAACAAGUUCAGCUCCAUCUGCGCCUUGGCUUUCCUAAUCCUAUCUCUACACAUAUGGGCAACAGCCCUGUAUUCCUCCCAGGACACACAACCCUGCUUCCACUUUCUGUACAUUUCCCUCUUUUCUCUCAGUUUAAGCUGCAGGUCCUUGCACAGCCAC
ensembl:lncRNA